GAUGAACGCUGGCGGCGUGCCUAAUACAUGCCAGUCGAGCGAACAGACGAGGAGCUUGCUCCUCUGAUGUUAGCGGCGGACGGGGGAGUAACACGUGGAUAACCUACCUAUAAGACUGGGAUAACUUCGGGAAACCGGAGCUAAUACCGGAUAACAUGUUGAACCGCAUGGUUCCACAGUGAAAGAAGGUCUUGCUGUCACUUAUAGAUGGAUCCGCGCCGCAUUAGCUAGUUGGUAAGGUAACGGCUUACCAAGGCAACGAUGCGUAGCCGCCGUGAGAGGGGGAUCCGCCACACUGGAGCUGAGACACGGUCCAGACUCCUACGGGAGGCAGCAGUAGGGAAUCUUCCGCAAUGGGCGAAAGCCUGACGGAGCAACGCCGCGUGAGUGAAGAAGGUCUUCGGAUCGUAAAACUCUGUUAUUAGGGAAGAACAAAUGUGUAAGUAACUAUGCACGUCUUGACGGUACCUGAGCAGAAAGCCACGGCUAAGUUCGUG
rnacentral:rRNA from 1 species